GCCUUUACAGGCCUGGCCAUGGCCCCAGGCUCUCCCAGUGGGGGCUGACUUUGAGGGGAGAACUCAGCUGCCCUUGUGUUAGCUGAGCUCUGCAACUCACACUGCAGGGGCCGACCUCACCACUCAGCCCGGUCUGAUCCCUGAGCCUUGGCAGGCCACUGGGCUCUGGAAUUAGCUUUUGUUGCCAACAGCCUGGUGUGUGUGAGUCCUGGGCACCCCUGGACAACAGCUGUCUGACUCCCAGAAUUCACAUCUGCGCCCUCAAACACCACGUCCUCCAACUCGCAUAGCGUCUGCAUAUGCCCUGCUCAGGCUGGGUCCAUUGCGCCCUCAAAUAAUUGGCCUGGACACAUGAUGUAUGAACUGUCCAUGACGACUUUGGAGUCUGACCAUGUGUUUCUUCUCCUGGAGCACAUCCUCCCAUGUGUGUGGCACGUGUCACCUCAUCCUUCCCUCCCCACACGUGCUAGCUGGGGAAUCCUCAGGCUGCUU